GAUGAACGCUGGCGGCGUGCUUAACACAUGCACGUCGAACGAGAAGUCGAGACGGAAACCUUUUGGUGGAAGACUUCACUUCGACCGGCGGCCGGGCGAGUAACGCGUGGGUAACCUGCCUCAUCCAGGGGGAUAACAGUUGGAAACGACUGCUAAUACCCCAUAAGACCACAGUACCGCCUUGUCCGGGGGUCAAAACUCAUGUGGUAUGAGCUGGACCGGCCUUCGAUUAACCAGAUGGCGGGGUGAGGGCCCACCUAAGCGAAGAACCAUAGCCGACCUGGGAGGGUAACCGCCGACAUUGGGAGUGAUGUACGGCCAGGACUCGUACGGGAGGCAGCCAUAGGGAAUAAUGCACAAUGGAAGAAAGCCGGAUGCGGCGUCGCCGCGUGAAUGAAGAAGUAUCUCGGUAUGUAAGGCUCCAUCAGCAGGGCAGAUGCUGACAGUACCUGAGCAAGAAGCCCCGGAUAACUACGUG
rnacentral:rRNA from 1 species